rnacentral:rRNA from 1 species
GACGAACGCUGGCGGCGUGCUUAACACAUGCAAGUGGAGCGACGAACCGGGGGCUUGCCCCGGGGCAGAGCCGCGAACGGGUGAGUAACACGUGGGUAACCCACCCCGAUGACCGGGACAACCCGAGGAAACUCGGGCUAAUACCGGAUGUGCUCCUUGACCUCGAGGUCAAGGCGUAAAGAUAGCUUCGGCCUUCGCAUCGGGCGGGCCCGCGGCCCAUUAGCUUGUUGGUGGGGUAACGGCCUACCAAGGCGACGANGGGUAGCUGGUCUGAGAGGACGAUCAGCCACACUGGGACUGAGACACGGCCCAGACUCCUACGGGAGGCAGCAGUGGGGAAUCUUGCGCAAUGCGCGAAAGCGUGACGC